AGUGAACGCUGGCGGUAGGCCUAACACAUGCAAGUCGAACGGCAGCACAGAGGAGCUUGCUCCUUGGGUGGCGAGUGGCGGACGGGUGAGGAAUACAUCGGAAUCUACUCUGUCGUGGGGGAUAACGUAGGGAAACUUACGCUAAUACCGCAUACGACCUACGGGUGAAAGCAGGGGACCUUCGGGCCUUGCGCGAUUGAAUGAGCCGAUGUCGGAUUAGCUAGUUGGCGGGGCAAAGGCCCACCAAGGCGACGAUCCGUAGCUGGUCUGAGAGGAUGAACAGGAAAACUGGAACUGAGACACGGUCCAGACUCCUACGGAAGGCAGCAGUGGGGAAUAUUGGACAAUGGGCGCAAGCCUGAUCCAGCCAUACCGCGUGGGUGAAGAAGGCCUUCGGGUUGUAAAGCCCUUUUGUUGGGAAAGAAAUCCAGCUGGCUAAUACCCGGUUGGGAUGACGGUACCCAAAGAAUAAGCACCGGCUAACUUCGUGCCAGCAGCCGCAGUAA
rnacentral:rRNA from 1 species